rnacentral:rRNA from 1 species
AUUGAACGCUGGCGGCAGGCCUAACACAUGCAAGUCGAACGAGUGGCGGACGGGUGAGUAAUGUCUGUGAAACUGCCUGAUGGAGGGGGAUACCUACUGGAAACGGUAGCUAAUACCGCAUACCAUCAGAUGUGCCCAGAUGGGAUUCGCUAGUUGGUGGGGUAACGGCUCACCAAGGCGACGAUCGCUAGCUGGUCUGAGAGGAUGAACAGCCACACUGGAACUGAGACACGGGCCAGACGACUACGGGAGGAAGCAGUGGGGAAUAUUGCACAAUGGGCGAAAGCCUGAUGGAGCCAUGCCGCGUGUAUGAAGAAGGCCUUCGGGUUGGAAAGUACUUUCAGCGGGGAGGCGUUACCCGCAGAAGAAGCACCGGCUAACUCCGUGCCAGCAGCCGCGGUAAUAC